ACCCCAAAGAAUAUAGGAGAUAUAACUUCUACCUUACUAAAGAACAAGAGUUGUUCGGCAUUCCUUUUAAAAAAAGAGUAUCUUGGUGAAAAAACAGAUGCCUUUGAUGUAGAACUUAUGAAGUUUGAUAGGUAGAAGAACUGACACAAUCUAGUGAAUCGAUAGAAUUAGAUUUGAUUAGGUCAAAUCUGAAUCCUAUUGUAGAGGUACCAUUAAGG
rnacentral:lncRNA from 1 species